rnacentral:tRNA from 1 species
UAUGAUUUAGUAUAUGUUGUACAAAAAUUUUUGAUGUUUUUAGAGAUGGUUUAACCCCAUUGUUCAUAA